AGGAAUCCUAUUGCAACUACUACUAAUACCAAAAAAAGUGUCCUAAGGAAACUGCUAUUCACAAGAAAAAGAACAGAGUGCAUUUCACACAGCAGUAGAACUGAUAUUCUACCAUUACAAAGAAGUAACAAAAGUGAAGACAAAACACCUAAUAACUGCCUUAAGGAAAACCAUCUUUGUUAGGGUUCAAGCACAAGAAAAUACCUGGCUUGCUUUGAACAGCAGUGUUUUUAUAACAUUUUUGUUGGAUCACAAUCUUCUUUCUCUCCACUCUGAUCCAAAAGUCUAACUGUGUUAAUCUAACAAACUAAUGUAAUGCUUGUAAUAUGAUUAAAGGUAUUACUAGAAUUUAUAGAAAGAAUGUGUUUUUCUCAUUCUGGUAGAAGUUUUUCCCUGCAACUGCAGAUGUAUACAAAAGUGUAACUAUCUGCUUGAAAAUCUAUGUUUUUUUCUCCCCUGUGGGGAAAACACAAGAUGUUUUAAGAAAUAUUUUUUUCAAUGAAUGCUUUUCUGGGAAGGUCUUUUGCAUGAAGAGAAGAAAAAAGACCCCUUACUUACUAGCUUUGUGUUUUUGGUGUGCCUCUGGAAAGUCAGGGCUAUGUUGCUGUUGGAAAAAGGCCUGGAAACCUUGAUUUCCAAUACUCUGUGUGAAAGUCUUAAUGAUUGGGCUACUAUCUAUCUGGAAAGGGAUCAGGGUGACUAGUUUUUCUCCUCUUUCCUUUUCUUUCGGGGAAAGGAGGUCAUAGCAAAUUUUAAAAAUUUAGACAUACCUCUCUUCAGUCUAAUGCAAAAUAAAAAAAAAUUCAAGAUUUUUUUUCUCUCUCUGGGAAAGAGAUAGUAUUUUUUAAUCGGUCUUAACAGUAAUGCAUAGAUCCACUGUUCAUGUUUCUAGUAAAGUAAAAAAUACAAUGAUGGUAUAGAGUUUGCGCGUAGCAAUGAAGAGAAACAACUGUACAUGGAUGGAGAGAAAGGUGCUGUAGCUAUGGCUGAAGAGCUCUGCUUGGAGCAAUGGAAAAAUAUUGCAUUUAUUCCACUGAGUCUUGCAAAGCAUCUUGUUAUCUGUGCACUUGUAUAUGUACUUAUAAUUUCACUUUAUUUACACAUAGUGAAAACUAGACCUACCGUUGACAAUGUGAGGUCUGCUUUAAAAAAUACAAAACCAGAGAGAACAAAGUGUGAGGAAAAUCCUGUUCAUAAAGCCAAAGUGACUCUUUAUGGAAGAAUAAAAAAUAAUCUGAUGUAUAAUAAUAAUCUUUCUUCCAUUCAUACAAAAUUGUGCAAAACCUUAGCUUAAUUUUGUUGACUGUUACAGCGUGUCUUCUGAAGUAUAAAUGCUAACUGAAAUCAGUAGUCUUUCAAAAAGUUCAGCAUGCGUGCUAAGAUAUUAGAUAUUUUUUUAAAAUGUACUUGAACACAGGUAUGUCUGAUUUUCUUUAAAGCCUCUAUCAGUGAGGAAAAGAAGGUGAUGGCUGGAUCAUGGUCCCAUAGGAUGCACCUCAUUUCUAGUAUUUAAUGUUUUAACGUUCAUCGCUUACAUGUGUGUUUGGCUGUGCUUCUGAAUCAUUACUUUGCAAAAAGAAACGGACGCUGCCGUCCAUCUCCAGAUGAGUUUCCACCUUGCUUAAAGAUUGGUGCUUUUCUCCUUUUUUCAUUCUCCUUUUUUCUUUAGAAAAGAUAAUUUUUAAUUAGAUUCUGCUUUCUGGAUAAGUUGAUCUUCCUUUUUAAUUCAAAGCAACAAGAGGAAGUAGCAGUGGGGUAUACCUUGAUCUCUGAAAUACUUCAGUCUGUGUUUAAAAAGUCACAGUGCUGUAACUUUCUCUUGAAAGGCUGCUGUGCAUUCAGAUGUUUGUUGGCUGGACUUGAAAGUAUGCUUUGGAUACUGUUUAGAAAAGUCUAGAGCCCCAUAAGUGCAAUAUACAAUAAAAGGAAGUAAUGCUCAAGACCUAUUGUGUGCGGAUUGCUACUAACUGAUUUUUCUCUUAAUGUUUUCAGCUUGCUGACCUGGAGAAAAGGCCAUUUCUACAUUUUAUUUCAGAGCCCAGAGAGGAAUAAACCAAGACCACCAGCUAAGACAUUAUGUAACUGCCAUGGAUAUGACCAUUGGAUGCCCUCAGGAAUCACCUACAAGGGAAACUGGAAGGUCCAUGGCAUCUCUCUGUCAUCUUUCCCUCCUGGUGGUGCCUCCAAACCUCUUCUGCAGGGGCUUGUGCAAAACAGAGCAUGGUCUCUACUUAAUGGAGGAUUUUCCAGAAAGACCCCAGCCUGGGACCAGUGAUGUGCCUGCCCUGGCCUCAGGUUUAGUUCUGGCAUAGCAGAGAGGUCAAAAGCAGGGAGCCUUCUCCUUCAGUAAGUAUGAAGCCACCUGGGAACAAGACAUCAGCUGAGAACAAGGAUCCCUGUUCACCAUAACUGCCUUCACAAUCCCGUGCUUGGACUGACUGUUCCCCCCGCAGAGCUGCACCCAGUUGCCUCAGGAGUUACUCUGGCAGCUUCACUGCAAGGGACUGACUCAGAAGGACUGCCGGUUUUGGUUACUUAGGGGAGAAUUUCAUCCCCAGAGCCCCACACUGAUGUCACACCCCGGCUUCGUGCCAUUAACUCAGCUUCCAGCACCAACGACAGACACAAGAAGCACACGAUUGCUGCACUCCCACGGACUGGCCAGGAGAAUCCAAAAGAACAAUGCUAAUCUGCGCUGUUGUGAGAGCUGGCAAAGGACCUGUGAACAGAUAUUCAUAGGGAUGAGUUCAGAGAUGAUGGGUAAUUUAAACUGAGGAAAAGGAGCCACACAGAGUCUGUGUUAAGG